rnacentral:rRNA from 1 species
GACGAACGCUGGCGGCGUGCUUAACACAUGCAAGUCGAACGGUGAAGGAGAGGCUUGCUCUCCGGAUCAGUGGCGAACGGGUGAGUAACACGUGAGUAACCUGCCCUUGACUCCGGGAUAAGCGUUGGAAACGACGUCUAAUACUGGAUACGACCUCGAACGGCAUCGUUCGAGGUGGAAAGAACUUCGGUCAAGGAUGGGACUCGCGGCCUAUCAGCUAGUUGGUGAGGAACGGCUCACCAAGGCGACGACGGGUAGCCGGCCUGAGAGGGUGACCGGCCACACUGGGACUGAGACACGGCCCAGACUCCUACGGGAGGCAGCAGUGGGGAAUAUUGCACAAUGGGCGCAAGCCUGAUGCAGCAACGCCGCGUGAGGGACGACGGCCU